AGGGCUGAGGCUGGGUGGGCGUCGGGGCAGGCAGGGCUGCUGGCGCCCCAGGGCUCAGUCGGAGUCCCCCCGGGCGUCCGCGGCUGCCCCCCCCGUCCCUGCUCUCGCCGUCCUCUCUCCACCUGCCGUGUCCCUCCUCGUCGGCAGUCUGUCUGAACGCGCGUGGCCGGGAUGUAUCUCAGGUCUGCAGCCGCAGGGAUGCGAGAAUGUGACUCCCCGAGUGUCUUAUGUCCGUGUCUCCCGUCGUUCGUUUUACCCCCGGAGGUCCCGGCGAAGCCCCACCAGUGCCUGGCUCAGCACCCUGCACACACGAGAGCUUGUGCUGUAGCAGAGUACCCUGAGCAUCAUACUGCUUUCCAGAGAGUUGUUGCCUCAGAUUCUUCUUCGCUGUGGACCUCCUGGCUGUCUAUGAUGGGUGUGUCUCCCCUGGAAGAACAUCAACUAUCAUUUCUUGAAAAAUUGAGUGUCAUCAUUGGAUAAUGACAUCUGCUUCCUAGGGAGCACAUGGCAGAUGGUGUCCAUCCCAGGAGCUUCUCUGUACAGAUAAAGCCUGAGUCGGUGGCUGUUGUCAUAGUUUGGUUACUGUCUGCAAGGCCAUCCUCAAAAAUGCCUGGUGAUAUCACUGCCAUCCAGUGGACACCGUUGUGGCUCCAUUUCUACCCCCAGUCCUGCUUCCUGUGGAAACAUCAAUGAGGAUGCUGAUUGAUAGCACCUGGGACAGAGAACAGAACAGAUUUGGGUGCUAAGCGCCCAUCGGAGACAUAUUAUGUGGUGAUUGGAUCUUCUCUGACAGUGGAUGCAUAAUGGGUCUAAUCUCUCACAGAGGCAGAAGGCCAACAGAUGCUAGUCUGCCUUGUGAAUGAUUAUUUCUUUUCUUUGUAGAAAUUCAGAGUAUCUUAAUGGGCAAGAUUAAAGUCCAGGUAAGGCCUCUCCUCAGCAGCCAGAAAGCACCUGGCGUUUGUGGCAGCAGAAAUCCAAUAUGAAACCCAGAUGAUAAAGAUGGCAAUGGGUGUCACAAAUGUCCCAUCAUAAAUUUCUACCUGGAAUGAGAACCAGGGCAUCACAAAUGUCAGCAAAGGCCAGUGAUGGCUCUAGAGAGGGAUAUUAGGCCAGGAUUGAUCUAUGAGGAAGUCUCAUUCAGGGCUCCCGGCACCUCCCAUCCAUGGGCUGAGCUGACAUGGGCAGGUGUCAAAUUGUCACCCUUCUCCUCACCUCUCAGAAAAGUAAAACUUCUUUAUGAUGC